rnacentral:rRNA from 1 species
AUGGCCCAGCGAAUGAUGUCGACUGCCAUCGCGCCCUUCGCUGGUUUAGGAACCAACGUCUUCAACUCUUGUGCAGCGGCCCUCAUGAGCACUGCAUCAGAUUCCUUCUACAUGUCAGGCAUGGAGCCGAAGUUCGAGCACACCUCCAUGGUGUUCUCGAACUUGGUGCGGUCACCAGCUGACCACCCGAGGAAGAAGGCCCUCCAGCCAAUACCCCAAGGGAAGGGGUUGGCGUUGGAGCUGGAGUUGGAGCUCAUGGCGAUGGAGAGGAGGAAGGUUGAUAGUGAGAGAAGAGAGGGGAUCGAGGAGAGCAAUGAGAUGGGCACGAAGGUGCUCCCGGCCAUUGACAACAAGGGCAAGCAGUCGGUUCAUCCAGUGCCCGAGGUGGUGCUGCCGCCCACCGCCGAGGAAGAACCAAAGACGCCUGAGGUUGGCGACGACGAGCGCAUGGAGGAGCCCUCCAGCAGCAAGCGCCGCAACUACGACCACUACCAUGAGGAGGGUGGCCCAACUCACUUCUGCAAGGUCAUCCUUGCACCGAAGCUUGAGUGCAUCCCCAUGCCCCUGGACUUCAUCAAGCACUUCGUUGCGGUGCCGACGGAGUUCAAGCUCAGAAACAACACCGGCUGCUCCUGGAAGGUGACGGUGAAGCUGAUGAACGGCAGUAUCGGCUACAUGGUGACGUUCAAGCUCCUGACUUCCGACACCCUCAAGGUCAUCAUCUUCGACCACGAUGGCAUUGAGGUGGUCAACAAGUGCAGGAAGCACGACGAAGCCUUCGUUGCCAAGGACUAG